rnacentral:rRNA from 1 species
GAUGAACGCUGGCGGCGUGCCUAAUACAUGCAAGUCGAGCGAAUGGAUUAAGAGCUUGCUCUUAUGAAGUUAGCGGCGGACGGGUGAGUAACACGUGGGUAACCUGCCCAUAAGACUGGGAUAACUCCGGGAAACCGGGGCUAAUACCGGAUAACAUUUUGAACCGCAUGGUUCGAAAUUGAAAGGCGGCUUCGGCUGUCACUUAUGGAUGGACCCGCGUCGCAUUAGCUAGUUGGUGAGGUAACGGCUAACCAAGGCAACGAUGCGUAGCCGACCUGGGAGGGUGAUCGGGCACACUGGGACUGAGACACGGCCCAGACUCCUACGGGAGGCAGCAGUAGGGAAUCUUCCGCAAUGGACGAAAGUCUGACGGAGCAACGCCGCGUGAGUGAUGAAGGCUUUCGGGUCGUAAAACUCUGUUGUUAGGGAAGAACAAGUGCUAGUUGAAUAAGCUGGCACCUUGACGGUACCUAACCAGAAAGCCACGGCUAACUACGUGCCAGCAGCCGCCGCAG